rnacentral:lncRNA from 1 species
UAGACAUUUUGGAUAAAUCCAUAUUUUUUUAGAUAUUCUCAAACAACAGAAUUCUGAAAUGAUUGAUAUUUUUACUAUAACCUAUCUGGCAAAAGGUUUCUAAGUCGUGUUGAUUAUUGAUGAAAAAAAUAAACCAGAAAUUACCUAAAAAAAUAUGAAUUGGAGAAUAGACUCGUUGAAAAGUUCUAUUGAUGGGGUUAGGACCAAAAAAGCUGUUUUAAAGCUCUUCAGGAUAGUCAAAUUAAUGUAAAAAUGGUUGGAAAUUACUCAAGAAAAACCACGCGUGAGCUACUGAUAAGGGUCUAGGCCGAUACGAAACCACGUUUUCCGUAGAGUUGGAGAGGGACCUAGUUCAACAUAUCAAAUUAUUGGAAUCUUGUUUAUUUGGUUUAUCAUGCGAUGAAGUUCGUUUUUUGGCGUAUCAACUGGCAGAAAGAAAUGGAAUUGCACACAGGUUCAACUCAACUACUAAAAUGGCUGGUUGGGAUUGGCUACGUGGAUUUAGGUCCAGAAACCCCGAUAUAUCUCUUAGAAAGCCUGAAGCUACUGCGGCCGCCAGAGCACAAUCCUUCAAUAAACCGCAAAUUGCUAAUUUUUUUAGAACUUUUCAAGAGACAAUUGAAAAAGAGCAUAUCAACCCCACGCGCAUUUGGAAUGUAGACGAAUCUGGCCUGUCUACUGUCCAAAAACCUAGCCGAAUACUUGCUACCAAAGGUCGAAAACAAGUUGGCUUAAUUUCAAGUGCUCAAAGGGGGCAGCAUAUUACGGCUGUGGUUUGCAUGAGCGCAUCAGGAGCCUAUAUUCCCCCUUCUUUUUUCCCAGAAAAAACUGGAAAAAGGAACUGACCGACAAGGCUCCCUUAGGUACAUUGGGAAUAGCUCAGGAGACAGGCUGGAUGACGGGCGAGAUUUUUAUAAAAUGGAUGCAACAUUUUAGAGAAUAUUCUAAUCCUUCAAAGGCAAAUAAAGUGUUACUUCUAAUUGAUGGUCAUGCUAGCCAUAAAACUCUAGACGUUACAAGAUUUGCUAAAGAAAAUGGAAUAGAAAUGAUAUGUUUCCCACCUCAUUGCACCCACCGGCUGCAACCUUUAGAUGUGUGCUUUUUUGGGCCAUUAAAAACAUUUUAUGAUCAAGAAGUUACAAAAUGGCUAAAAUGUCAUCCAGGCAGAACUGUUUCUUCAUAUCAGAUUGGCGGGUUAUUUGCUGCAGCAUAUGGAAAAGCAGCUACAAAUCAAAAUGCUGUAAGUGGGUUUAUGAAAACAGGAAUAUGGCCGCUAAACCCAGAUAUAUUUCCUGAUUAUCUGUUUAACCCUGCAAUGGUCACAGAUAGAUAUCAAGAUGGUGAUACUCAAGUGGCUAACCAUUCAUUGAAUAUAAACAAUAUUUCAGUUAUUCGCCCACAAGACAUUUCCCCUCUUCCAAGUUCAUCCGGGAUACAAGCAAACCCAAGAAAGCGGAAGGCAGAAGUACGUAAGGCUGCCAUAGUAGCAUCCGAACACUUUGUCCCAAUGGACGAAAACUCUGAUAAUGAAAAGCCGUUUCAAGAUGAAGACGACGAUGAUCCACCCUGCCUAUAUUGUAACAGUUUGUACUCUAUGUCCAAGUCCAAGGAAACAUGGGUUAGAUGUCAAUCGUGCUCGAAAUGGGCACAUUGUGAGUGUGCUGGUAUUUCUAAAACAAGCAAACAAUAUGUAUGUAAACUUUGUUAGUUUUAACUUGUAAUGACCUUAUGUACCUAUGUAAGUUUCUUAUGUCAUUUUACCCAAGUAUGCUCGGGUAAAAUGACACAUUUACAUAUUUCUUUUUAUAUUUUUUUCGCCAGGAUUAUUAUAUUAUUUAAAAAAAAUUAGGUUAUAUUCUUAUUAUAAACCUUUAGUAUUACAAAUUACUAAUGAUUUUGUAUGUAUACAUUAAAAGAAUAAAAAAUUAAUAAGCAAAAAUAAAGUGGUAUGUCAUUUUAGGCCAGUCUCCCCUAGUUGUAGCCUGGAAAAGAUCUUCACACUGUUGAUCUUCAAUAGAUAAUAUUUUAUCGUAGGGCUUCUCUUCAAUCUCCCAAAAGUUUUUUAAAUACUGUUCAAGAGGGUCAGUAGUUCAA